UUUCGAUCCGGAGUACGGUUUUCCCCGUAGUCGGUCCGGCGGAGUUUUUCGGGUAUUGUAAUUGUUGAUAAUUAUCCAGUUUGUCUCGAUAAACGUGAAACGAGAUAUUUUAUUCAUCUUUAUCUUGUCAUAAUUGCAAUGGGACCCGCAGACCAAUAAUUGAGUUGAAAAGCCCCGUUUUGAUGAUUAUCUCGAAAACUAGUACCGAUUGGACCCCG
rnacentral:lncRNA from 1 species